UUCUUUUUUUAUUCCUAAUAAUUAUAUUUCUGUAAUAAAUAAAUAAAAAUGAUUUAGGGUUUGGAUCCUAAUUGAUAUUUUCUCUCUCUCGACAUAAUAUAAAUUGUUGUCGGCACUAUUAUAGUAUUGGGGUUAAAGUCUAAAUAGUUUUAGUAUUUAGUUUUGUACCGUAUUUAAGUACUUUUAGUAAGUGGUUACCUAUUAUUUAGGGGAUAACGUGGGUCAGUUAUAUUAGAUUAGGGUUAUAUUAUAAGAGAUCGAAUAUUGAGAGCAGGGCGUUGGGAGAGCCGCAACAGCCGUGUAAAGGUUCUUGAGGCGUCCUUUGAUAAUCUUGCUUUCAAUCUCAGUUGCGGUAUGUAUUCACGUUCUUCUUCAUUUUGGUUCCAUUAAGUUGAAGUAUUACCUCUUGAUAGGAAGUGUCAGAAUCCUUGGUAACACAUUUUUUUUCUUAGUGUCUAAUUUACCCGGAUGCAGUUUGAGAGAGAGAGAGAUGUGCGAUGUGUGUGGCGAUGUGGUGGUUUGUGUGUGCUGUGAAUGAUGACUUUGGUAUGAGUUUCAUUUUAAAUGUUGUCAUCAGUGGGGUUUUGGCCGUAUAUGGUUCUUGCCAUGGGGUUGUUGAUGCCAUGCCAAUGAAUGACAAUGGCUAUGGAUGUGCUCAGUAUAUUGGGAACGAGAUUGUAGUUGAUUAUUGGAAGGUGAAGUUAUUAGUUUUGGAACAGGUGUCUAGCCCUUUCGUUGAGGAAAACAAAUUAUUGAGUUUGGAGUUAAGUGGGGUUUAUAGCUUUAGGUUUCAUCUUAUUAGGUAGUCGUAUAUUAGAUAUGUUGAUACAGUUAGCGAUAAUAAUGUUAUAUGAUUCUCUUUGUUCAGGUUAGCAUCUUUUUGCGUACUCGAGUUGCAUUAUAUUUGGACCCAGGCAUGUUGGGGAGUUAGGAAAGGAUUUUGGCGGCAUCUCGGGGAUUUUCUUUUGUUGACCUCCUUAGGGUGUCUCAUUCUAGUUUUAUUUUAAAAAUUGCUUCCGCAUUUGAAACAAUUGUUAGAUAACAAAUUCUUUUAAUUAUUGUUGGAUUAUUAGAUAUUGUUUGGUUCAUGCGAUGGUUGUGCCCCAUGUUUAUGAUGAGCAUAUUUGGCUUUUGAUUUGAUUAAUAAUGAAAAAGCGAUCAUUUGAUUUUCGGUUACUUU